CAGUCGCCGCGGGAAUACGAAGGGGGCUAGCGUUGCUCGGAAUGACUGGGCGUAAAGGGCGCGUAGGCGGGUUUUUAAGUCAGGGGUGAAAUCCUGGAGCUCAACUCCAGAACUGCCCUUGAUACUGGGAAUCUUGAGUAUGGGAGAGGUGAGUGGAACUGCGAGUGUAGAGGUGAAAUUCGUAGAUAUUCGCAAGAACACCAGUGGCGAAGGCGGCUCACUGGCCCAUAACUGACGCUGAGGCACGAAAGCGUGGGGAGCAAACAGGAUUAGAUACCCGGGUAGUCCCUGUCUCUUAUAC
rnacentral:rRNA from 1 species